ensembl:lncRNA
UCUUUCCAUUAUAGUAACAUAACUUUAAUCUGUGGCAAAUAGCAGCUGAGUUAGAGCAUAGUCUUAACAGGCCAAGAUGGCCGACGGCCUGAGGUGAGGGUGGGGGAGCUCCACUCGCUGCCAAAAGCAGGUGGUGUGCUAAAUGUGAUACUUUAUAGCAGCUAGAAGAGGAGUUAACAUUAGCAGUGGUGGCAGCAGGGGAAUAUUCUUUCAUUUUACUCCUGCGCAUUGCCAAACCUUCCUCAGCGCUAUACCUUUUCACCCAUUGUCAGGGACAGGGAGGAGAAAGUUCAGCCAGUUGCGAAAAGGCCAGCUGUUGUCCUAAGAAAAGGUCAUCCUAUCAUGGCCAUCAGCUUCAUCCCCAGCACCCCCACCCCUCGCUCUUCGACAGUGUGCCAACUGCAAGAGUCUCUUCCUGUCUUGCUUCUUCACUGAUGGUGUCACUGAUGGAUGGGUGGAUGACAAUGAGACUAUAAUGCCAGCAAUGUUACCACCUCUUCUGGCUCCUCUGGAGAGUCAUAAUUUUUUAAGAGCUCUGAGGGAGGUGCAACAAGUUAUUUUUGUUCCUGUCAGAAGCACUCCGGUGGUGCUUCUGCAGUGGAAUGGUCAGGCAACAGGGUGCUAUUGUUGCCCAGUGGAUGCCUGAAUGUAUUCACGGUCCUUACAUUCUUUGAGGAGGCUCCUUCCUUGUUGUGCCUCAUCAAUCCUCUCCACCCACUCCUUUUCUUCUUUCGCAAAUGCCACAAUAAAUGUUCUCCUUGGGGAAAAAGAACAAAGAUAUUAUUUUGUGCCAGUGGACUACAAAGAAGAAAAAGAAUGGUGUAACUGACUGUCUGAUCCAAGCGGGCAGAGUCUUCAGACAACUGUUUCCUUGACCGUUUUUCCAGGUAAGUACAGUUAAGGUCAUAGAAAGGAACACUAAGUUAUUUGAAAGGCAGGGGAGCUUAGGCUUGAUGUUAGCCCUAUUCAGGCAUUACUUAGGCAGGUAGAAUCAUCAUUUUCAGAAGAGAGGGCUGUCCCCUACCCUACCCCGUCAUGGCAUUCUCCAGCUGGGAUGCAAUGUGUUUGCAGAACAAAUAUUGUUGGUUAUGUGUAAGCUUUCCACAUGAGCAAGAAUCCCAGAAAAACUGGGGUUCUUGCUUGCACGCAGAGCCUGUGUGGAAGUAGAAAGUCUCCCCUGCAGAUAUGCCACUUGGGAAAGCAAUGGCAGUGGUGGAAGGGAGAAACAUUCUUGUCUAAUUAUGGUGAUCCAAUCCAUGCAACUAAUACCUGAAUAGGGCUUUUUUCCCACUUGAAUCCUAAGGCUGGCUGAACUUGAAGAUUCUCCUCGCUUAGACCUUCUGAGCAGCUGCAGAUAGUAAAGCUGAAAUGGCAACGGUGGCUGCUGCACUUCCCUUUCUCUCCUCCCUGGGUUUGUCCUGCAAAAGAGAAGGCAGUUUACAGUGCUUGGAAGCAGUGAUUUACGAGCCAUGUAGAAGUUCCUUGGGCAUAAUGAUGUUACAUUUCGAAAGCAACAUAACAAACAGGAGUUAGCUUAAUUUAUUGAUCUGAUGAAUAAUGUUUCCUUCUUACUUUUAUAGUUACUCUAC